rnacentral:rRNA from 1 species
GACAGAGGCCUCAAGCGUUAGGCGGAAUCACUGGGCUUAAAGCGUGUGUAGGCGGAUCGUUAAGUGUCUUGUGAAAUCCCACGGCUCACCCGUGGAACUGCUGGGCAUACUGGCGAUCUUGGGCCAACUAGGGGCAACUGGAACAAGCGGUGGAGCGGUGAAAUGCGUAGAUAUCAUUUGGAACGCCAAUGGUGAAAACAGGUAGCUGGGGCUGUGCUGACACUGAGACACGAAAGCCAGGGGAGCGAACGGG